UACGAAGGGGGCUAGCGUUGCUCGGAAUCACUGGGCGUACAGGGUGCGUAGGCGGGUCUUUAAGUCAGGGGUGAAAUCCUGGAGCUCAACUCCAGAACUGCCUUUGAUACUGAGGAUCUUGAGUUCGGGAGAGGUGAGUGGAACUGCGAGUGUAGAGGUGAAAUUCGUAGAUAUUCGCAAGAACACCAGUGGCGAAGGCGGCUCACUGGCCCGAUACUGACGCUGAGGUGCGAAAGCGUGGGGAGCAAACAGG
rnacentral:rRNA from 1 species